rnacentral:rRNA from 1 species
GUGUCAGCCGCCGCGGUAAUACGGAGGGUGCAAGCGUUAUUCGGAAUUACUGGGCGUAAAGCGCGUGUAGGCGGGAAAGCAAGUCUGAUGUGAAAGCCCCGGGCUUAACCUGGGAAGUGCAUUGGAAACUGUUUUUCUUGAGUACUGGAGAGGAAGGGAGAAUUCCCGGUGUAGAGGUGAAAUUCGUAGAGAUCGGGAGGAACACCAGUGGCGAAGGCGCCCUUCUGGACGGUUACUGACGCUGAGACGCGAAAGCGUGGGGAGCAAACAGGAUUAGAUACCCUCGUAGUCC